rnacentral:lncRNA from 1 species
GUCCAUUCGAACUAGGGUCAUGGACUUGUGCCAGUAACUUCGAAUCAAGAGUUGAAAUUGAUUAGCCGUAGAGAGAACGAAUUUCAACUCAAAGAAUCCUCAACUGGGUUCAUGGCAAAAUGUAAAACACUGCUUUUGUCUUUUCUCGUACGGUAAUAUCGUGUUGGUUUGAACUGAUCACGAGUUCGACAUGGACUACAUUUAUUAGACCAUUAUAAUUUGGGAUUGGAAGUAGAGAUGUAAGUUAAUUUUUAUCUCUUAUUGAACUCUUAUUCCUAGUUCCUUAGUCGUCAAAUUUUCAUGUAAUUGUCAUGUUUAGCAGUUUUAACUGUUAUUUCCCAUCUUUCGAUUUAUAAUAUAAUGUCGAAAUCCACAUAAAAACAUGUUUUAUUUUUUACGGUAUUCCGUUUUGACGUCUAUGGCAUUGAUGGGGCAUUUGUAUAUGAUAUGAGAGAAAAUGUAAAAAAUAUAUAAGAAAAAGCAUAAAGAUGGAAUACAAUACAUCAACACCGGCUGAUGUCAAACAAUGAAAACAAAAAACAUAUAAAUAGACUGAAGCGAGAAAGAGAACUGUAUGACUCCAACAGAAGUACGAAAAUAACAAAGCAACGAAUCUCCGCUUACACCAACAUGAGGUCUGUCUCUAUUCUAACAAUGGCCUGCCACGUGAGGAAUCGAGAAAAUACUACCAGUGGUUUUACUUGGAAGGUGGUGGAGAUAGGACUGGGAUUGUAGGAAUUGAAGGGAUCUUUGGAACGGAGGGAAAAGAAGGCAUUGGGGGCAAUGCGACUUUGGGCAUGCCGGGAAUGGUAGGAAUAGUUGGCUGUGUUGGAAUGGUUGGAAUAGAAGGCAUUGGUGGCACGGCUGGUUUAGGGAGACUUGGGAUGGUGGGAAGUGAUGGCAUUGGUGGCAAAGUUGGCUUUGGUAAUGUUGGAAUAGAUGGCAUUCCCGGCAGAGGGGGAGGAAAUGAUUGCAGCAGAGUACGCGCAGCCUCGCAUUUUUUAUAAUUGGCGGUGACUAUAACUGCAAGGAUGAAAAUGCAAGUGUAAAUACUUCUAACCAUGAUAAUUCAAAGAUUAAAAUGAAGGUUUUUUUUUUUUUUUUUUUUUUUCCUAAUCAAUUGGGACAGGAGAAGUUUUG